AUAAAUUUUAUGAAGAGAACAAGUAAGUUGUACAAUCUGUUCUAAAGAGAGUUGGUAAUUGCUGAAAGCCAAUGUUCAGACUAUAGCUGAAAAUCAUCUCCGAGAAGCAAACCCCAAAUAUAGUAAGGUUUGAUGGAUGUCCACCAUUAUAAGGAACCAGUAUCAUGCUGUACUGUGUAGAGUGCUAUUAUUAUAUUAUACUUUAUUUUUUAUAAUAAUAGAAUUAGGGUGGUAACGCGAGUAAUGCUCGUCCCUUUU
rnacentral:ncRNA from 1 species